rnacentral:rRNA from 1 species
GCCAAUAAUCUAGCCCCCCCAAUCGAAUGAGUAGCAAAAAUUUAUACCACAAACUAAAACAUUUUAAUACUUUAGUAAAGGCGAUUGAAAAAUUUUUAGGAGCUAUAUAAGUAGUACCGCAAGGGAAAGAUGAAAUAAAAAUGAAAUAAAUAUUAAGCACAAGAAAGUAGAGAUUUUCCCUCGUACCUUUUGCAUCAUGGUUUAACUAGUCAAAUUAAGCAAAAUGAUUUACAGUUUAACUUCCCGAAACUAGGCGAGCUACUUUAAGGCAGCUUACUGAGCAAACCCGUCUCUGUUGCAAAAGAGUGGGAAGACCUUUAAGUAGUGGUGACAGACCUAACGAGCCUAGUGAUAGCUGGUUACUUAAGAAAAGGAUUUAAGUCCAACCUAAAGUCUUAUAAAUCUAACUAGAUAAAAACCUCACUUUAAGGACAUUCAAGUAAGGUACAGCCUACUUGAAACAGGAUACAACCUCCAAAGAAGGGUAACUUUGAUUUAAAAUAAUUAAGUAGGCUUAAAAGCAGCCACCUUUAAGAUAGCGUCAAAGCUCCACUAUUUACCCCUCUAAUUCCCCUAAUUACCUAAAACCCUCUAAUAGUAUUAAGUAAUUCUAUAAUCUUAUAGAACAUUUUAUGUUAAAACUAGUAACAAGAAAAGAACUUCACUUAAAUGCAAGGGUAAAUCAGAUAGGACACACCACUGACUAUUAACACACCUACAGAAAAUUAGUAACUUCACAAGAAAAACCUAAUUUCCAUUGUGUUUAUCUAACACCAGAGCAUUACAAGUAAGAUUAAAAGAAAAAGAAGGAACUCGGCAAAUAUUAACCCCGCCUGUUUACCAAAAACAUCGCCUCUUGCCCGAUUAUAAGAGGUCCAGCCUGCCCAGUGACUUUGUUCAACGGCCGCGGUAUCCUAACCGCGCGAAGGUAGCGUAAUCACUUGUUCUUUAAAUGAGGACUAGUAUGAACGGCAUCACGAGGGUUACACUGUCUCCUUUUUCUAAUCAGUGAAUCUAAUCUCCCCGUGAAGAAGCGGGGCUGAACUUAUAAGACGAGAAGACCCUAUGGAGCUUUAAACUAAAUGACACUUGCUUUAACUCUCAGUACUUCAGAGUAACCAACACUUACUAUAGCCUUUUGAUCAUUAGUUUUAGGUUGGGGUGACCACGGAGAAAAAAUAACCUCCACAUUGGACGGGAUUUUAUCCCUGAGCUACGAGCAACAACUCUACGCACCAAUAAAUUGACAUUAAUUGACCCAAUAUAUUGAUCAACGAACCAAGUUACCCUAGGGAUAACAGCGCAAUCCGCUUUAAGAGCUCCUAUCGACAAGCGGGUUUACGACCUCGAUGUUGGAUCAGGGUAUCCUAGUGGUGCAGCCGCUACUAACGGUUCGUUUGUUCAACGAUUAAAACCCU